GAAAUACACUCGACUUUUUGAAGAGGAGUGGCAAGGAACACCUGGAGGCUGAUGAAGACAAUAAUAGUUAAAAGAACAGAAAACGUGAAUGGAUAUGGAGGUCGUUUUUAGGAACCUCACUGAUAGAGCAGAGAUUUCUGAACCAUGAGGAAAUGGAGGAGGAACAUG